UAACAUAAUAAUAUAAAAACCUUAUAAACUUUCAAAAUUGUUCCUUAUGCAAUUUUAAAACAUAAAUUAUUAAUUAUAUAAUAGAGCUACUUCUCAGUAUCCAAACAUUUUCAAGACUACAAAUGGAAUCUUAUGUUUACACUAGUUAAGAAGCCACUUUAAGGAUUACCAAGGCUUGUCACAACACAUGUAUUGAUACACAGAGAGGAAAGGUAAAGGAGAAGGAAAGGACGUCAAUAACGAGUGUAAAGACAACAUAUCUUCCCAGGCAUUGUCAGCUGAAACAAGGAAAUCAUGGACCAUCUUCUUGAUGACAUUAAGCAUUCUAGGAAUAUCACUGUGAAUUCAUUGACACGGGGAUCACUCUCAAUACAAUAUUUAUAUGGUUGAAAUGAUCUAGCAGAGAUCUUUGCUGCAUUUGCUCAUGCCGAGAGAAUGACCAAUAUAACAGGAGUAACAACUCGGGUAUUGGCUGGUAUUAUUCACAUCUUCAUAUUCCAACCCUUCAUUCGCUUGUUAAUGUGUGAACUCAGGCUAUAUAUUGGAUUCUAGUAUUACUGGGGCUGAUAUUUUCAUAUUUCAAAGAUGAUACUCAAAUGUUCCAGAGGACUCAAAUCAUUGCAAUUCAGUCUUUAGAUGGGAAUCAGAAUCAUGUAUUGAGACUCCUGUCUCUUUCUCACCUCCAUUAAAAUCCUAUUAUAGAUAUUAAAUCAUCUUCAAGAUUCUCAAAGAAUGCAGUGACUAGAUCUGCCUUUGUUACGGGAGAAAGUACUAAAAAAGACACCGGUGAUUUGAGAACAACUAAGAUACCUUCUAGUGAAUGAGUAUGAUCACCCGACUUGAGAAUUCUUAUUGUCGAUGCCAGAAUAGGGACAGGUACCCAAAAAUCUUAAAAAAUUGGAUUCCCAAAUUAGAUUUGUGAAUACAUCAAAAAGUAUGCUAGAGCUUAGAAUCUAUACACGUCUUGAAUUUGAACAUGAGUGGAGCGAAAUUUGUUGGAAAGGAAUUUCCUCUCAAUGUUCGAUCGCCUUCAUCCCAAGUCUCGUCUCACCUUUCUGAAAAGUUGAGAGAUACCAAUAUUAACCAAGAUUCCAAAUCCAUAAUCAUAAAUUGAAAAGAAAGUGCAGGAAAUAUAAAUGAAUACAGAGAAUUUUUCAGCCAAAGCCCCAAAGGUUCAGCAACAACUUCUAACACCUAAUCCCCUGUUGAGCAUCCAUUAAAAAUGAUAAAGCUCGAUUGCACUAUAAAACCCCAAAAAUCAGGUAGCAAAUAUACAAUAUUGUUCCAGAAUAUUACAACAAAUUAGUCACAAAGACUUAUCUCAUAAUGUUGGGAAAACACUGGAAAUAUAAAUGAAUACAGAGAAUUUUUCAGCCAAAGCCCCAAAGGUUCAGCAACAACUUCUAACACCUAAUCCCCUGUUGAGCAUCCAUUAAAAAUGAUAAAGCUCGAUUGCACUAUAAAACCCCAAAAAUCAGGUAGCAAAUAUACAAUAUUGUUCCAGAAUAUUACAACAAAUUAGUCACAAA
rnacentral:lncRNA from 1 species